rnacentral:tRNA from 224 species
AGGGAAGUGGCGCAAUUGGUAGCGCAACGGUCUCCAAAACCGUAGGUUGUGGGUUCGAGUCCCGCCUUCCCUGCCA